GUGGGGGAUAUUGCACAAUGGGGGAAACCCUGAUGCAGCGACGCCGCGUGGGUGAAGAAGUAUUUCGGUAUGUAAAGCCCUAUCAGCAGGGAAGAAAGAAGACGGUACCUGACUAAGAAGCCCCGGCUAACUACGUGCC
rnacentral:rRNA from 1 species